ACACCUGUUUGUUGAGAAGCCGUUAAGUAGAGUGGAAAAUUACUUAAGUGACGGUAUCUAACCAGAAAGGGACGGCUAACUACGUGCCAGCAGCCGCGGUAAUACGUAGGUCCCAAGCGUUGUCCGGAUUUAUUGGGCGUAAAGCGAGCGCGGGUGGUUUCUUAAGUCUGAUGUAAAAGGCAAUGGCUCAACCAUUGUGUGCAUUGGAAACUGGGAGACUUGAGUGCAGGACAGGAAAGUGGAAUUCCAUGUGUUGCGGUCAAAUGCCUAGAUAUUGGGAGGAACCCCCAACGCGAAAAACCCUCUCUGGCCUGUAAGAGACCCUGUGGUUGCCACCCGUGGGGAGCAAACAGGAUUAUUUACUCUGGUAAUCCACGCCGUAAACGAUGAGUGCUAGCUGUAGGGAGCUAUAAGUUCUCUGUAGCGCAGCUAACGCAUUAAGCACUCCGCCUGGGGAGUACGACCGCAAGGUUGAAACUCAAAGGAAUUGACGGGGGCCCGCACAAGCGGUGGAGCAUGUGGUUUAAUUCUAAGCAACGCGAAGAACCUUACCAGGUCUUGACAUACUCGUGCUAUCCUUAUAGAUAAGGAGUUUCUUCGCGACACCGGAUACAGGUGGUGCAUGGAUGUCGCCAGCUCGUGUCUUGAGAUGAUGGGUUAAGUCCCGCAACGAGCGCAACCCUUAUUACUAGUUGCCGUCAUUAAUUUGGGCGCUCCACUGUGAGUGCCGGUGAUGAACCUGAGGAAGGUUGGGAUGACGUAAAUCGUCUUGCU
rnacentral:rRNA from 1 species